rnacentral:rRNA from 1 species
GAUGAACGCUAGCGGCAGGCUUAACACAUGCAAGUCGAGGGGUAUAGUUCUUCGGAACUAGAGACCGGCGCACGGGUGCGUAACGCGUAUGCAAUCUACCUUUUGCAGAGGGAUAGCCCCAGAGAAAUUUGGAUUAAUACCUCAUAGUAUAGCAGUUUCGCAUGAAACCACUAUUAAAGUCACAACGGCAAAAAGAAUGAGCAUGCGUCCCAUUAGCUAGUUGGUAAGGUAACGGCUUACCAAGGCUACGAUGGGUAGGGGUCCUGAGAGGGAGAUCCCCACACUGGUACUGAGACACGGACCAGACUCCUACGGGAGGCAGCAGUGAGGAAUAUUGGACAAUGGGCGCAAGCCUGAUCCAGCCAUGCCGCGU